AGAACUGCCCUUGCCUACCGCCCUACUGCGGGCGCUCCCCUGUCUGGGGGGUGCUUGGCUGGGUGUGGAGAAGGAUCAAUCACAGCUGACUCCUCAGAGGUGACAGCCCCUGCCCCCUUAAAAACAAGAAAAGACCUAGCAGUGUGAAGCCAAACUGCACCCCCAGCCCCGGUGACAUGAGGAAACCGUGAGGCGCUCAGCCUGAGGUUCAUCGUUCAUCUCCUUCCUGCUUGGAAUCAGAAUGUCCUCACUGCUGAGUUUCUCCGUUUUAUGGGAUUACAUUAGUGGACAAAGGAGGAAGUCCCAGCCGGAAACACAGAAAGGAUAUGGAGAAAAUUAUUAUUCUGCCCCUACAGUUUCGGUGACCCAGAUGGGAUCUCUGGGACACCCUGCCUGCUCUACAAUUGGGAUCCCUGGAAAAGUGACAGAAUCUGGCAACAGCCCCCACCUAGGAACUGACUCAGAGCAAGAAGACAGCUCCGACUCCCUGUGAUUUCAUCCCUGACCAAUCAGCUCUUCUAGCUCACUGGCUUCCCCCAACCCACGAAGUUGUCCUUAAAAACUCUGCUCCCGACUGCUGGGAGAGACUGAUUUGAGUAAUAAUAAAACUGGUCUCCUGCACAGCC
rnacentral:lncRNA from 10 species